CUCGUCGAGCGUAUCGGGCUCCACAGGCGUUAUCUAACAAGAUAUGUAGUGGCAAGUGGAUUUUUUUCCCUCAUAUUGCUCCCUCACAAUUCCAGGCAGCAGUGACUUUAUUUUUUCCCCCGCCAUCACAGUUCUUGGCAGUCAGUGACUUAGUCAUCCCCAACCCGAAUGGAAUUCCAGUAUUGCAAGUAGUUUUGCAUGGAAGAGGCAAUGCCAAUUCACUGGCAGUGAGUUUUGAGUGCUCGAAGAUUUGCAUCAGGUUGGUGUGUUGAGCAGCUACUGGUGGAGGCAGAUGCCAAAGAUUUUGGGAGCAUUCAAGAAGUGGUAGUAACUGCUGCUGCUGCUACGUGCACAACACGUGACUGGAGACCGCGUUAUCGGAUUCUGGUGUGGAUUACCCGCAAAGGAACGCAAAGGUCGAUACAUACCGAUUGCAGAAUGGGUUGCUGCUGCAGUAGUUCCGACUCCCAGGACAUCACGGUUCCCGAUCGGCCGGGACCCCCCGAGGAUGCCCCCACCGGCGUGCCGUACGGUUUGCAGGACAACUCCGGCAACGACAAUUCCGGCGCCACCGGGUACAACGUGAAUGGUUGAGGGUCGAGAAUUCGUGUGAAGGCUUGACUGGUCCUGAUGAUGGUGUGUAUUCGGAUGGAACGACGAAAUGGAAAUGCCCUGUUGUUGUUGUUGUUGGUGUGUGGGGUGAAUUUUUUUAUUCCGCUGCUGACUUUUCCGAAUAUCACAAAAUUGGUUCGAUAGGAGUUGAUGUUAUGGUGCGUCAAUUAAGCUGCUUUAUGUGGAAAAGUUUUCCCAGCCGAUGUGGAAUGUGAAAAGUGGGGAAAAAAGGUAAAUCUUUUGCAUGGUUACACACCAUGGCGGAAAAUCGAUGGUACGCUUCUAGAAAAUAUACGACCAUUAAAUGCUUUUUUCUUUGAAGCCUUUUUCAUAGUGAAAAAUUUAAUUGAAAUAUUUUUAUUUUCAAACAAUAAUUUGUUAGAUGAUGAUGUUUGAUUGAUGUGUAUUUGUUCAGUUUCAUGAAACACCUAAAAUAAAUUUCUAACAGUUUCAUUAUUUUAUCC